rnacentral:rRNA from 1 species
AGAAUCAACGCUGGCGGCGUGCCUAACACAUGCAAGUCGAACGAGAAAGGGUAGCAAUACCUGAGUAAAGUGGCGCACGGGUGAGUAACACGUGACUAACCUACCUUUUAGUGGGGGAUAACCUAGGGAAACCUGGGCUAAUACCGCAUAAUACCUACGGGUCAAAGCAGCAAUGCGCUGAAUGAGGGGGUCGCGGUCGAUUAGUUAGUUGGCAGGGUAAUGGCCUACCAAGACUGUGAUCGAUAUCCGGCCUGAGAGGGCGCACGGACACACUGGAACUGAAACACGGUCCAGACUCCUACGGGAGGCAGCAGUGGGGAAUUUUGCGCAAUGGGGGGAAACCCUGACGCAGCAACGCCGCGUGGAGGAUGAAGUCCCUUGGGACGUAAACUCCUUUCGAUCGGGACGAUAAUGACGGUACCGGAAGAAGAAGCCCCGGCUAACUUCGUGCCAGCAGCCGC